GGCGGAGCCUCAGCAUCCUCAGCCAAUGGGGAGCCGCAAAGGACAAAGGCUCCAACUCCGCGGGCCAGACACGCAGAAAUAUCAAUCAGAACAAUCAUCUCACAAAACUUCUUGAAUUCAGACUCGAGUGGACACAACAGAGGGUAAACACCGCUGUGAGGGAGGAAAACUUAGUUUUGGAUUCCAAUGUACAGUCCGGUAAGGUUAUUUACAAAUGAGUUUUAGUCAAUUCUUUUCACAGGACCUAUUAUCCUAAAUCAAACGUUCUAAAGAGUAAACGAACGCAGUAAUGAUAAUCACGGAGAUAAGUUAUCACCCCUUGUGCUCUGAUGACAAAGUCUUACCAUAAAUGGCAGCAAGCAUUUUACAGAAGAUACAAACUGAACAGCAUUAAUAAUGCAAACGUGCACAAGAAUGAAGACUUGUGACAGGAAGCUAGACAUCCAGCCGGACACAAGCGGAAUGCAUGAAUGCCAGGUCGUGACAAGAAGCUGGACAGACAUUUCAU